rnacentral:rRNA from 1 species
AUGGCCGUGCCGGAGCCGUCAAGAACCGGGUCGCCGCCUCGCGUCUUCCUCCUCGUCUUCGCCAUCAUUCUCACGGCCACAGCAGCAGAUGAGGCGGUGGCAGCCGGAGGCCUAUCGAUCGGGAUCAACUACGGGCAGAUCGCGGACAACCUCCCUUCGCCGUCCCGCGUGUCCAUGCUCCUCCGGUCGAUGCAGGUGAGCAAGGUGAAGCUCUACGACGCCGACCAGAACGUGCUGAGCGCGUUCCUGGACACGGGCGUGGAGUUCGUCAUCGGCAUCGGGAACGAGAACGUGUCGGCGAUGGUGGACCCGGCGGCCGCGCGGGCGUGGGUCCAGCAGCACGUCCGGCCGUACCUCCCGAGCACGCGCAUCACCUGCAUCACCGUCGGGAACGAGGUGUUCAAGGGCAACGACACCGACCUCAAGGACAGCCUCCUGCCGGCGAUGAAGUCCGUGUACCAGGCGCUCGGCGCGCUUGGGCUGCAGGGGCAGGUGAACGUCACCACGGCGCACUCCCUGGACAUCAUGGGCAGCUCCUACCCUCCGUCCGCCGGCGCGUUCCGGCCGGACGUCGUGCCGUACAUCCAGCCGCUCCUCGACUUCCUGUCGGCGGCGAGGUCCCCGUUCCUCAUCAACUGCUACCCGUACUUCGCCUACAAGGACGACCCCACCGGCGUGCCGCUGGAGUACGUGCUGUUCCAGCCCAACGCCGGGGUGACCGACCCGACCACGGGGCUCAACUACGACAACAUGCUGUACGCCCAGGUGGACUCGGUGUACGCCGCGAUCCAGGCGCUGGGCCACGCCGACGUGGACGUGAAGAUCUCCGAGACCGGGUGGCCGUCCAGGGGCGACCCCGACGAGGCAGGCGCCACGCCGCAGUACGCCGGGAUCUACAUCGGGAACCUGCUGCGGAGGAUAGAGUCGAAGCAAGGGACGCCGCUGAGGCCGGCGGUGCCCAUAGAUGUCUACGUCUUCGCGCUCUUCAACGAGAACCUCAAGCCGGGGCCGGCCUCCGAGCGGAACUACGGCCUCUUCUACCCCGACGGCACGCCGGUCUACAAUGUCGGCCUGCGCGGCUACCUCCCGCCGAUGGAUGAAUCGGAUGCCACGCGGACGGCCAUUCACUUCUUGGCGCUCAUCGCCUUGGCAUUUGUCACUCUCGUCUUAUCCUGA